GUUUUCAAUUUGGCAGCACAAAAACUAAAACUGGAAUAACACAGAGAAGAUUAGCAUGGUUCCUGAACAAGAAUAGCGUGAAGUACUUCAUAUUUUA
rnacentral:snRNA from 1 species